rnacentral:rRNA from 1 species
UACGAAGGGGGCUAGCGUUGUUCGGAAUCACUGGGCGUAAAGCGCACGUAGGCGGAUGUGUCAGUCAGGGGUGAAAUCCCGGGGCUCAACCUCGGAACUGCCUCUGAUACAGCACAUCUUGAGUCCGGAAGAGGUGGGUGGAAUUCCUAGUGUAGAGGUGAAAUUCGUAGAUAUUAGGAAGAACACCAGUGGCGAAGGCGGCUCACUGGCCCGAUACUGACGCUGAGGCACGAAAGCGUGGGGAGCAAACAGG